GUCCAGGAAGGGGAAACAAACCCACAGUGUUCCGCUUACCGGGCAGAUGCCAUGUCCACUAGGCUACCCUGGA
rnacentral:tRNA from 1 species